GGCCCAUUAGCUCAGUUGGUUAGAGCGUCAUGCUAAUAUCGCGAAGGUCGUGGGUUCGAUCCCCCCAUGGGCCA
rnacentral:tRNA from 1 species